UGGAUUUGAAGUCGGAAAUGGCUCCCGACACGCUACCUGCAAAGGCAGUUACCAGAGAUACAGGACACGCCGCCCUGUCAAAACCA
rnacentral:ncRNA from 12 species